AGUGAGAGAACUGUCCACGGGUUUUCAGCGUCACAGCGAUGAUUUAGAUUGUGGUAGUGGACGACACCGAGUUCCGAUCUGUUUGUUAAAAACCAAAGCAAAUAUGAUAUGAUAUGAUACAGGGCGAGGAUUAAGGAAAUCCAAACCAAAAUCAAUUUUCCGAAGAUGGUGAAGUUUUUGAGCCUCCUGAUUGCGGCUUCCAUUCCCGUUCUGAAAGUGCUUCUAAUCACAGCGCUUGGCUCUUUUCUGGCUCUUCCCCACAUCAACGUCUUGGGCGAAGAAGCCAGAAAGCAUUUGAAUGGAGUGGUUUUUUACGUAUUCAAUCCUGCACUCGUCUCCUCCAACCUUGCUGAAACUAUUACAUACAACAACAUGGUCAAGAUGUGGUUUAUGCCUUUCAAUAUCCUCAUUACUUUCAUAGUGGGAUCACUAUUUGGUUGGAUUGUGAUUCAAUUAACCAAACCUCCUCCUCAUCUCCGCGGCCUCAUCUUGGGUUGCUGCUCCGCUGGAAAUUUGGGCAACAUUUUACUUAUUAUAAUUCCAGCAGUUUGUAAAGAAAAGGGAAGCCCCUUUGGGGACUCCGACCAAUGCACCACUUACGGAAUGGCUUAUGUUUCUCUUUCAAUGGCGAUAGGAGCCAUAUUUUUAUGGUCAUAUGUCUACAAUAUUGUUCGAGUUUCUUCAAUGAGCCACAUUAAGAAUUCCACCUUUAAUAACUUGCCCAUCACUAACACCUCCUCCAUAGAGGAACCAUUGAUUCACAAUAUUCAACCACUUGUUGUUCAUAAUGAUGAUGAUGAUGAUGUUUCUUCAAAAAAAUUAUUGGUUUUGGAGGAAAAUGCAGUCAUUUCCUCUUCUCAAACGAAACAUGAGGUUGUUCCAACUGCAGUCGGAAUAAGCACAUUCAUUAAAUCGCUUAAUUUGAAAGCAUUGUUUGCCCCUUCAACAAUUGGAGCGAUUGCUGGUUUUGCGAUCGGUCUCAUCCCUCAACUUCAAAGCUUGUUGAUAGGUGCUGAUGCUCCUUUGCGCGUCAUCGACGACUCGGCUGCUUUGUUGGGAAAUGGGGCCAUCCCAACUGUCACAUUAAUUGUAGGAGGGAACCUUCUAAAAGGUUUGCGAGGAUCGGAAUCGGAGUUGAAGAAAUCCAUUGUCAUUGGGAUUGUUUUGGUUCGUUACAUUGCGCUGCCUCUGAGUGGACUUUUGAUUGUGAGAGGAGCUGCAAAAUUGGGUUGGGUGGGGUCUGAUCCCUUGUAUCUGUUUGUUCUUCUGCUUCAAUUUGCUGUCCCACCUGCUAUGAAUAUUGGAACCAUCACUCAAUUGUUUGGAGCUGGAGAGGCAGAAUGCUCGGUUAUUUUGCUAUGGACUUACGUUCUAGCUUCAGUUUCACUGACACUUUGGUCCACCUUGUUCUUGUGGCUCGUGGGUUGAUCUAUAUUGAUGAGACUCCAAUAAAAAGUUCUCUCAGUUGUGACCCAGUGUUGCUCGUUCCGUCGAAGUUUCAGAUCGCGUCGUGAUCCAGCCGCAGCCCACCCGAUCUCCAACCACGAUCUCCAACCGCCUCACUCGCCUGCUAGCGCUGCCGUUGGAGUCUAGUCGCUAGAUCUGAAGUUGCGUCGUUGUCCACAAUUGUCCGUAGUCGAUGCUCAGCGUGGCCGUUCGUGUGGGUUUUUGUCAGGUCGUCCAUUCGCUACAACGUCCACCAUUUGCUUCGCCGCACUCAUCCACCGCCAGCCGUUGGUCACUGCCACUGAGUCAUCGCUUUACAUUGCCAGAUUUUUAGAAUUUGAUGUGUUCUGGUUGGUCUAAUUUCAAUUUUCUCACGCCGCCUUGAUUAUAGAUUUAAUGUUCUGGAAGAAUUCGAAGAAUUUUGAAGAAAUUUCCAACAAGGUUGGGUCUACAAUCAGUGAGUUUUGUUGGGUUCUUGUUCAAUGGUAGAUUACCUAUUAAGCUUUACACUGGUUUGAGUUUGUUACUCACAAUGCUUGUGUUAGAUUGGAGCUUUGAAAGACUUUGAGGCACUAUUCAGAAGUCGUUGGGUUUUUAUAGAUUAUCUUAAGUUUAAUUGUUGGAAAUUUAGUCAUUGUCUUAUUGGUGAUUUGUGCAUAGGUUGGACUACUUGGUGGACGUUUUUUAGUGAAAUCUUGGAUUGAUCUUGUUUUGACCUCCAUUUAGGUAAGUGGUUUAAGGAUAGUUGAGGUAAAGUGUGUUGGAAAUUUAUGCUUUAUGGGAUAAAACUGAUUAUGGUUAAUGUUUUAGGCUUUGGAUUGAGAAGUUUGAUAAACAAGGGGACGAAAUCGUUUGGAUUUACUCUAAGGUAAAUGAUUUACUACUGGUUCGCACUCGAACCCAAGUUGAUAUUAAGACUGUGAUUGCACUGAAAGCGUGAUUCUAUUUUGAUGGGUUGAAUUGCUAUGACUUGCUAUGGUUGGAUUAUUGAGGGUGUUUGGAAACUUGUGUUUGUGUUACGGAAAAUAUGAUAUAUUAUGUGAAUGAUUUUGCUACGUUUGAAUGAUGGAUGGACUGAUGGGACUAUUCUGGAAACUCUUGAGUGAGUAUGUUCUAAGAUUAUGAUUACAUGCUUAUGACUGUGUUAGACUGAUGGUGACUGUUAGCAUUCUUAACGAGUUGUGUACAUCCCUUGUGUAUGUAUUGCCGUUCUUAUGGGAUCGCCGCCACCUAUAUUUAUGAUUUUUUUUGUGACUCUUCGGAGCCACUACUAUGAAAGCGUGCCUUCGAAUUCGCCCCUUAGUACCUAUACACAUAAUAAGCCCAAUAGUGGGUCGCUUACUGAGUAUUUUUAUAUUCAAUCUUUUCUGUAAAUGUUUUUUUUCUAGGUGGUAAAGAUAUGCUACCGAAUGAUACGAGGAAUCCGUGACAUUGAGACUUGACAUCGCUUCCACACAUGAUUUUCUCAAAAUGUUUUGUUUUAGGGUUAAAUAUUUAAAUUAUUUGAUUGUUUUAGUCAGUAUUUAUUUAAUUUAUUUUAAAGUAGAUUAAGGGUACCCGAACAGUGUUUUUAUUAUUUUAGAGAUUUA